GGAAUUUUGGACAAUGGGGGCAACCCUGAUCCAGCCAUGCCGCGUGAGUGAAGAAGGCCUUCGGGUUGUAAAGCUCUUUCAGCCGGAAAGAAAUCGUACAGACUGAUACUCUGUAUGGAUGACGGUACCGGAAGAAGAAGCACCGGCUAACUACGUGCCAGCAGCCGCGGUAAUACGUAGGGUGCGAGCGUUAAUCGGAAUUACUGGGCGUAAAGCGUGCGCAGGCGGUUUUGUAAGUCAGAUGUGAAAUCCCCGGGCUUAACCUGGGAACCGCGUUUGAAACUACAAGGCUAGAGUGUAGCAGAGGGGGGUGGAAUUCCACGUGUAGCAGUGAAAUGCGUAGAGAUGUGGAGGAACACCGAUGGCGAAGGCAGCCCCCUGGGUUAACACUGACGCUCAGGCACGAAAGCGUGGGGAGCAAACAGGAUUAGAUACCCUGGUAGUCCACGCCCUAAACUAUGUCAACUAGUUGUCGGGCCUUAACGGGCUUGGUAACGCAGCUAACGCGUGAAGUUGACCGCCUGGGGAGUACGGUCGCAAGAUUAAAACUCAAAUGAAUUGACGG
rnacentral:rRNA from 1 species